rnacentral:rRNA from 1 species
UGCUGCAUGGCUGUCGUCAGCUCGUGUCGUGAGAUGUUCGGUUAAGUCCGCUAACGAGCGCAACCCUCGCUGUGUGGUUACAAGUGUCACACGGAACUGCCGGUCAUAAACCGGAGGAAGGUGGGGAUGACGUCAAGUCAGCAUGGCCUUUAUAUCCUGGGCUACACACACGCUACAAUGGGAAGGGACUAAUAGGUUGCGAAGCCGCGAGGUGGAGCCAAUCCAGCAAAACUUCCCUCAGUUCAGAUUGCAGGCUGCAACUCGCCUGCAUGAAGUUGGAGUUGCUAGUAAACGCAGGUCAGCCAUACUGCGUUGAAUACGUUCCCGGGGCUU